AUCGACUGCAGGGAAAUUACUGAUCUCACCGUCUCAAAGUUCCGCAAAGUCAUCUCCAUCCUCGACCGCACCGGUCACGCCCGGUUCCGCCGCGGCCCGAGAUCGGCUCCUUUGUCUAACACUAUGAACAACUUCGUCCUAGCCCCAAUCCCGCUGCAAGCUGCGCCGCCGCCGCCGCAGGCGGCAGCGACCCAGCAUCUCACGCUCGACUUCAGCAAGCCUUUCCUCUCCAGCGAGCUCGUGUCCGCCUCCGUCUCCGCCUCAGUCUCCACCAGUCAGU
rnacentral:misc_RNA from 1 species